GUUCCUUCAGGGCAUCCGGAAAAACUAUAACGAUACAGAAAAGAUUAGCAUGGCCCUUGCGCAAAUAUGACUUGCACAAAUCGAGAAAUGGUCCAAAAGAAG